AGUCACGAGUUUGAUCAUGGCUCAGGAUGAACGCUAGCGGCAGGCCUAACACAUGCAAGUCAGGGGGUAGAGUUCUUUCGGGGACUUGAGACCGGCGCACGGGUGCGUAACGCGUAUGCAAUCUACCUUAUACAGGGGAAUAGCCCAGAGAAAUUUGGAUUAAUGCCCCAUAGUGUUAUCGAAUCGCAUGGUUUGAUAACUAAAGUUCCAACGGUAUAAGAUGAGCAUGCGUCCCAUUAGUUAGUUGGUAAGGUAACGGCUUACCAAGACAAUGAUGGGUAGGGGUCCUGAGAGGGAGAUCCCCCACACUGGUACUGAGACACGGACCAGACUCCUACGGGAGGCAGCAGUGAGGAAUAUUGGUCAAUGGGCGCAAGCCUGAACCAGCCAUGCCGCGUGCAGGAAGACGGUCCUAUGGAUUGUAAACUGCUUUUAUACAGGAAGAAACCCUCCCACGUGUGGGAGCUUGACGGUACCGUAGGAAUAAGGAUCGGCUAACUCCGUG
rnacentral:rRNA from 1 species